rnacentral:rRNA from 1 species
UACGAAGGGGGCUAGCGUUGUUCGGAAUCACUGGGCGUAAAGCGCACGUAGGCGGAUUGUUAAGUCGGGGGUGAAAUCCUGAGGCUCAACCUCAGAACUGCCUUCGAUACUGGCAAUCUCGAGUCCGGAAGGAGGUUGGUGGAACAGCUAGUGUAGAGGUGAAAAUUCGUAGAUAUUAGCUAGAACACCAGUGGCGGAAAGGCGGCCCAACUGGGUCCCGGUUACUGGAA